rnacentral:rRNA from 1 species
GACGAAGGAUUCAAGCGUUGUCCGGAUUUACUGGGUUAAAGGGUGCGUAGGCGGAAAUAUAAGUCAGUGGUGAAAUCCCGCAGCUCAACUGCGGAACUGGCCAUUGAAACUGCAUUUCUUGAAUACGGUUGAGGUAGAUGGAAUGUAACAUGUAGCGGUGAAAUGCUUAGAUAUGUUACAGAACUCCGAUUGCGAAGGCAGUCUACUAAGCCGGUUAUUGACGUGGAGGCAACGAAAGCGUGGGGAGCAAACAGGA